UGGGGGAUAUUGCACAAUGGGCGAAAGCCUGAUGCAGCGACGCCGCGUGGGGGAUGAAGGCCUUCGGGUUGUAAACUUCUUUUGCUCUGAACAAGGCAUGCUAAUGGGUGUGUUGAGUGUAGGGGUUGAUUAGCGCCCGCUAACUACGUGCCAGCAGCCGCGGUAAUACGUAGGGCGCGAGCGUUGUCCGGAAUUAUUGGGCGUAAAGGGCUUGUAGGUGGCUGGUUGCGUCUGUCGUGAAAGCUCAUGGCUUAACUGUGGGUUUGCGGUGGGUACGGGCUGGCUUGAGUGCAGUAGGGGAGGCUGGAAUUCCUGGUGUAGCGGUGGAAUGCGCAGAUAUCAGGAGGAAUACCGGUGGCGAAGGCGGGUCUCUGGGCUGUUACUGACACUGAGGAGCGAAAGCAUGGGGAGCGAACAGG
rnacentral:rRNA from 1 species